UACGUAGGUGGCAAGCGUUGUCCGGAUUUACUGGGCGUAAAGGGCGUGUAGGCGGCCAGGUAGGUCAGCUGUGAAAACUCGAGGCUCAACCUCGAGACGCCGGUUGAAACCAUCUGGCUAGAGUCCGGAAGAGGAGAGUGGAAUUCCUGGUGUAGCGGUGAAAUGCGCAGAUAUCAGGAAGAACACCCGUGGCUAAGGCGGCUCUCUAGUACGGUACUGACGCUGAGACGCGAAAGCGUGGGGAGCGAACAGG
rnacentral:rRNA from 1 species